UAGGGAAUCUUCCACAAUGGACGAAAGUCUGAUGGAGCAACGCCGCGUGAGUGAAGAAGGUCUUAGGAUUGUAAAGCUCUGUUGUUGGAGAAGAAAGCAUUGGAAAGUAACUGAUCUAAUGUUGACGGUAUCCAACCAGAAAGCCACGGCUAACUACGUGCCAGCAGCCGCGGUAAUACGUAGGUGGCAAGCGUUGUCCGGAUUUAUUGGGCGUAAAGAGAGCGCAGGCGGUUUAUUAAGUCUGAUGUGAAAGCCCCCGGCUUAACCGGGGAAGUGCAUCGGAAACUGGUAGACUUGAGUGCAGAAGAGGGUAGUGGAACUCCAUGUGUAGCGGUGGAAUGCGUAGAUAUAUGGAAGAACACCAGUGGCGAAGGCGGCUACCUGGUCUGUAACUGACGCUGAGGCUCGAAAGCAUGGGGAGCGAACA
rnacentral:rRNA from 1 species